AAAACAUGACUUUGAUCUCCGUCCUCAUCUGGACUCUCCUCUGCUGCUGCUUCACAGAGUCCAGAGGCCAGGUCACAGUGACUCAGCCUGGAGCAGUGAGCUCUGCUCUGGGAGGCUCCGUCUCCAUCAGCUGUAGGACCAGUCAGAAGGUUUCUGUUUAUGUUUAUGGUUUUAGCAGCUACGAUUGUUUAGCCUGGUACCAACAGAGAGAUGGAGAAACUCCUAAACUGCUCAUUAACUCUGCUACUUAUCGAGAAUCAGGUACUCCAAGUCGUUUUACAGGCAGUGGAUCAAACUCUGACUUCACUCUGACCAUCAGUGGAGUCCAGACUGAAGAUGCAGCAGUUUACUACUGUCAGAGUUAUCAUGAAAUCAACAGUCAGUGGUUGUUCACACAGUGA